rnacentral:lncRNA from 1 species
CUGACCUGUGCUGAGUUACCAGAGGCCUAAAUAUAUAUCUGGCAGUCCAGUGUUCAGAAAAAUGUUUCUCUUCAGAAAAGUGAAGAAUAGACUCAGUAAUUUCCACAGCACAUCUGAAGCCUCACCAAACCCAUGUUCUACACAAUAAUUUUUUCCUUUAACCUUUUUUUCUCUUCCUAGAUAAACCAAAAUGUAGUAAAUUACUGUCCAAAGGACCAAGAAAAUCAGCUGGGUAACAGAAAUGGCUAAACAUUAAAGAUUUCCCUGCUGAACAAAGAACAGCACUCGGAGAUGAAAAAUAAUAAACAUCUUUCAGAGAAAGGAAGAGAGGGAAACUUACUGCUGUCAAGAAAACCAAAUGGAAAAACCCUUCCUAGCAUACGUGUCCCAUUGAGAAGCAUGGAGUUUAGCCCAGACAGCUCACAACAACCUCCACAGAGGCCAAGUGUAAAAGAAGAAACUUCCAAAGUAUCUGUUUGUACCAUGAUGGGCAGCAUUUUCACCACAGGUGGGUGACAGACUGGCACUCAGUAC